GCCCAGACCCUGUACGUGUUCUUUCUUCUAUUCUAGAAAUUCCAGUGACCCAGACGCAAAAGAAUAGGAGAUAAUCGUCAGCCGAGUCUAGCAACUUUAGUUGUAUCAUCUUCCGUCUCUCUCCAUCAUCCUCUCCGUACAGGAAUAGUCUAGGUGUCGAAAUAUCUUCGCCUCAUCAUCCUUGGUUUCUAAUCGAAUGGCUAGCCUUUCAAUACCGUUGAGGAUUGUAACAAUUUCAGCUAUUGGCAAACUUAUCUCCAGGGAAUUUGAAAUUCGAAUUCAUCCCAUUUUCCCUCUCACAAUCUCCGUGUUUUUCCCCUUAGCUCAGCACCAAUUUCUUCUGUAUAAACUCUCAUCUACUCUUUAUUGAAAUAAAAAUUUUGUUCUUGAAAAGAAUACUUAUAGUAGCUUAAAAAAAUAGAUAAGAACAUACACAUACAGACAGAUCCAAGUUGUAUUCAAAACAGAGAUCCCGCCUAGAAUUCCCACACAUCAUUUAAGUUCGAGUCGCAUAGUGAAGACAAUUUCCUUAAUCGCCCGUCUCUUGCUUGCUGCCACGGAGAAGGUGAACUCUCUCUAUAUCACAUCGUUUAAUCAUCAUUUUGUUUCAACAAAUAUAAAAUUCUCUGCUGCCAUUUCUCCUUCUAAUUUAUAAUGUUUUUUGCCUUUUGUGAGUUACCUUUGAUAGUAUGUUGAAGUUUUGUCUUGUUUCAAGUGUUGUGUUUUAUGAUUAAGCAGUGUUUUGUACAUGUGGGCUGCUCGUCCUCGAAUACCUUGAAGAUUGAGAACAGUAAUAAUAAUUAUGUCAUUUUUUUCCUUAAAGUUUGGAUGCUAUUUGUUACUUUCAGAUUGAAUCAUGAAUAUUUCGAGUUUACUCUUGUUUCUUCUACAGUUGUGAUUCGGGAAUAAGGUCGAAGAAUGCAUGUGUGGGCUGUGGGUUUUUCUUUGGAAUGGUUUUCCCAGUCCAGAAAUCGUGACGCUUCUUGUUUUAAUUUUUCAAAUCUUCCUAACUUAACCUUAUUUAAUUUCGAGAUUAUUUCACCUGUCUUAUUUUUUUUUCUUGUUGUCAUGAGUAGGAGUAAUUGCGUUGCACUAGAUGUUUGAGUCAUCCUUUAUCAUCUUAAGUUGGAUGAAUGAACCCAAAACACUAGUUAUUUGGAGUCAUUUCGUUGUAUCUGCGAUUCUUUAGCAAUUUCAUUGUCCACCACUAUUAUAGUUCUCGGCUUUACCUCUCAUGUCGAUCUUCGUUGCUUCUAUGAAUCUUGAGAUUAUUUUCGUUAUCUCUCAUAUCAGGUUGACUUGUUUGAAUAUUCAUGGUCUGUUUUUGCAUUCUUAUUGUAAGCUUAGAGUAUAUCCUUCCCUUGCUUGUUCAUUACGUCUAAAGUCUUCAUUCAUUUCUCUUGUUACUCGAGUUAUUCGUUUAGGCCGGGAUGAACCAAUAUAGGCAGUGUAAUAUGCGAUUUUAUUGAUAUUGUCACUAACUCUUCCAAUUAUGUUUUGUUUCACAAAUGUAUGUUUUCUCGGAUUCUCGCCUUGUUUGUCGAAUGGCCUUUGUGUUUGUUUGUCUCGAGUGUGUUGCAAUAAGGAUUAGUGGCAUGUUAUUUGUAGCCUCUUUGAGCAUUAAGUUCUCCUAGGUGAAUUUUUCAUUUUAGUGUGUGUUGAUAUAACUUGCUUUCUUCCUCCUAACAGUGUUCUUAUUCGCCAUGUGAAGUCGAUUCUUGUAUGCUCGAGUUAAGAUAGAUAGAAUAGUUGCUAGCUUGGUCAUAUGAUAAUAUCAUUAAGUUACUCUGUUAAGUAAAGGAUUUGUUAUCCUCAUACCUACUUAAAAUACGCAUGACCCACAUGUUUUCUAUUCCUAACAAACUUUGAUAAGUGGGAAAUAUUUUCGUUGAUGUUCUGGAAGUCAAAUCAUAGGUUGAAAAUUAUAUUUUGACAUGCUUAAAGGUAGUUUUCUGUGAUAGCUUUCUUAUGCCACCAUGAAGUUAUGUUUGCAAAUUAAUUCAUUUGAGCCUAGUUUUGGUCUUCUUCUUUGGCCCGCAUAUAGUUCAUAUUGCUUCUUUUUAUUUGUUUAUUAGUUAGGAAGUAUGGUUCAAUUAACAUCCUUAUCCCAACUUCAAUGGUUACUUUGGUUAGUUUCUUUUCUUUGAAUACAUGAUAAGAAUCCUAUGUCAAGAAGUCCGGUUAGUUUUCCACCAUGUGACGUGUGUAUGUCUUCCGCAGUGAGCUAGCUACUAGAUUAUGUGUGGGCUGAAAAUUAUAUUUUCUUUUUUAACGCUCUUCCAUGUGUUGUUAAUUAUUAGAUUGUGUGUGGGUUGAAAAUCAUUUCUCAUUACAAACUUUCUCCCAUUUUUUGUUGCAUGUGAAACACUUCUGGAGUCCAUUUGGAUUCCAUUUCCCUUUAGCGCUAUCUUUAUUGAGCCCCAAAGGCUCAAUCCUACCCUCUCCGAGUCGGCCAGCCAUCUUUAAAUUGGUCUGCAGGUUGAGAAUGGCAAUGGAAAUGCUGGAAAUUAAACUUUUCAACCCCGAAAAGUCAAAACCAUACUGAUAGAACGACUAUAUAAACUGGUAUACAGUCAGAAAAUACAAUAUGUAGGCGCAUGGACAUGAAAACACAGGCCAAUAAUACAGGACAUAAAUUUCAACGAAAAAUGCAGGUCUCGGAAGGCUCAAAUGGGUGUAAAAAUGAAAAUGUCAAGGGUCAAGGGCCACUUAUAAAUAGGACACGGGAUGAAGUUGGGCCCAUCAGAUUUGUGGAUUUGGGCUGAUAAACCCAAAUUAAUAUUUCUAUCCCUCUUCCUCUCUUUGUUUAUUCAUGUUUGACUAACAUUUUAGUUUCAAUUUAAUUGAUACUCAACGAUAGCCAUUCAUUCUCAUUUAUAUACAUAUAUUCAAAAUUAAUGUAUACAUAUAAUUUUACUUGGUUUUA